rnacentral:rRNA from 1 species
AUGGAGGUAGCUAUAAAAAGCGAGCUCCCUGGGACUGUGCACAGAUGGUGCAAGUGGCACAUUCUAAAGAAAGCAAAAGAGAACCUUGGCCCACUGUACACAAGGAAGAGUGAGUUUAGAGCCGAAUUCCACAAAGUGGUGAAUCACAUGAUAAGUGUGGAUGAAUUUGAGACUGCUUGGGGUAUACUUGUUGACAAAUAUAAUCUAAAGUCCCACAAUUACAUGACAAACCUGUAUGAGAUACGUGACAAGUGGGCGAAGCCAUACUUCAAAGGUGUCUUCUGCGCCAAAAUGACGAGCACCCAGCGAAGCGAGAGUGCGAAUAACUUGCUGAAAAUGUGCAUGCCGCCAUCAAGCCAAAUGCACGUGUUUGUGAAGCAAUACACGAGGCUUCAAUUUGACAGGGAAUCAGAUGAGAGCUAUGAAGAGAAAAGGACAAGAGUUAGUGGCGCUGUAAUGCGGACAAACAUUGCUAUCGAGAGGCGCGCGAGUAAAAUAUAUACGAGAAAGAUGUUUGAACAAUUUGGUGAGAACCUCUUCGAGGGUGGUUCAUACCAAGUCGAAGAAGUGGAGAAGAAAAACAAAUAUAUCGCAAGGCACAACAAUGCUGAGAAACUAGAAAAGUGGAGCAAGGUCGAAUACGAGGUUAUGGACCACAUUGGUGUGCAAGAGAUACCCAAGUGCCACAUAUUAAAAAGGUGGACAAAAGAUGCUAGGGACAUCUUGCCGCAACACAUUGCUCAUUUUCAAAAGGACCUAGCUGCUACUCAAUCGUUUACCUGUCGGAGCUCAACCCUGUACCUGCAUGCUAUGGAAUUGGUGAGGAUUGGAGACUCGUCAGUCGCUGCCUACGAGCUUGUACUAGGGAGGAUCAAAGAAUUAUUCCUGGAGGCCUCUCCGUUAACGGAAAAAAGGGAUGGUCUUGGAAUUGAAGAUAGGAUAGCUGCUGAAGCAAAUAUGAAGAACAAUGGCUCAGCUGUAGCAACCCUGAACAUUGAUGCAGAAUUGUUUGAAAACGAUAACAGCAUGACAGCAUCUGGCAAUUGGGAUGCACUUGCUGGUCUGUCAGCUCCCAGCAAGAAGAGAGGUGUGGGCCGGCCGUGUUCAAGCAGAGAGAGUGCCGUAUGA